GGUAAAAUCUGCCGUUGAGCGGUC
rnacentral:siRNA from 1 species